GGCUGUCUGCUGGCCCCUUCGGGGGCAUGUGCAUGUCCGAGCCGUUUAAAUCAACACCUGUGAACUCACCGUAGGCCUUCGGGCUUAUGUAUCAUAUAUAUAUAUACUCAGAUCAUAGAAUGUACAUUUUGCCUUUAAAAAAGCAAUCAAAUACAACUUUCAACAACGGAUCUCUUGGCUCUCGCAUCGAUGAAGAACGCAGCGAAAUGCGAUAAGUAAUGUGAAUUGCAGAUUUUCAGUGAAUCAUCGAAUCUUUGAACGCACCUUGCGCUCCUUGGUAUUCCGAGGAGCAUGCCUGUUUGAGUGUCAUUAAAUCCUCAACCCCGUCCGUCGGUCGGGGCUUGGACUUUGGAGCGUGCUGGCGAAGGUCGGCUCCUCUUUAAAUGCAUCAGCGGAGAAAAACAAACCUUUUUUCCCCCUUCAGCGUGAUAACUGUGUUGCGCUGUGGUCGCGAAAGGGUCCGCUCAUAAUCGUCCUCGGACAAACACCGAAUCUGUUUUGACCUCAGAUCANGUAGGACUACCCGCUGAACUUAAGCAUAUCAAUAAGCGGAGGAAAAGAAACUAACAAGGAUUCCCCUAGUAACUGCGAGUGAAGCGGGAAAAGCUCAAAUUUAAAAUCUGGCGGUCCUCUGGCCGUCCGAGUUGUAAUCUGGAGA
rnacentral:rRNA from 1 species